rnacentral:pre_miRNA from 1 species
UAUAUACUCCCUCCGCUCGGAAUUACUUGUCUCGGAAAUGGAUGUAUCUAGACGUAUUUUAGUUCUAGAUACAUCCAUUUUCGCGACAAGUAAUUCCGAACGGAGGGAGUUAAGC